rnacentral:rRNA from 1 species
UACGGGAGGCAGCAGUGGGGAAUAUUGCACAAUGGGCGAAAGCCUGAUGCAGCUAUGCCGCGUGUAUGAAGAAGGCCUUAGGGUUGUAAAGUACUUUCAUCGGGGAGGAAAAAACAAAACUAAUAAUUUUAUUUCUUGACGUUACCCGAAAAAGAAGCACCGGCUAACUCCGUGCCAGCAGCCGCGGUAAUACGGAGGGUGCUAGCGUUAAUCAGAAUUACUGGGCGUAAAGAGCACGUAGGUGGUUUUUUUAAGUCAGAUGUGAAAUCCCUGGGCUUAACCUAGGAACUGCAUUUUGAAACUGAAAUACUAGAGUAUCGUAGAGGGAGGUAGAAUUCUAGGUGUAGCGGUGAAAUGCGUAGAUAUCUGGAGGAAUACCUGUGGCGAAAGCGGCCUCCUAAACGAAUACUGACACUGAGGGUGCGAAAGCGUGGGGAGCAAACGAGGGAUUAGAUACC